UACGUAGGUGGCAAGCGUUGUCCGGAUUUACUGGGUGUAAAGGGCGCGUAGGCGGGAAUGCAAGUCAGAUGUGAAAUCUCCGGGCUUAACCCGGAAACUGCAUUUGAAACUGCAUUUCUUGAGUGUCGGAGAGGUAGAUGGAAUUCCUAGUGUAGCGGUGAAAUGCGUAGAUAUUAGGAGGAACACCAGUGGCGAAGGCGAUCUACUGGACGAUAACUGACGCUGAGGCGCGAAAGCGUGGGGAGCAAAC
rnacentral:rRNA from 1 species